AUUAAAAUAGUUCAAAAAGAGCGUUGCAUUGAAGCUGCAAAGGUGACUUUGGUCUUUUAAUG
rnacentral:tRNA from 1 species